CAAAUUAAAGUUUAUUAUAAAUAUUUCAUUUACAUUGAAAAGAAAUUGAUUUUUUCAUUUAAUUUGA
rnacentral:tRNA from 1 species